AUGUUCAUUAAUUAUAAUCCACAUAAUAACUCACAUUUCCUGUUGCUGCAGGAUUAUGUUUUUGCUGUAGCAAACUGGCUCAAAUUAAGAUCCUACAUAUGUAGUGUCAAUGUUAUGAUAGUCCUAUUAGCUAAUGUGUAUCAGAGAUUAUUUAUAAAAUGUCCAUGUCUGGAAGAUAAAUUAAGAAAGCUGUAAAGCACUGCAAUGAAAAUAACACUGUAACAUUUGCUUAAUACAUUUGGACAUUUCUUGCACCAUCAGUGCAAACGAAUGUAAAUUUCCAUUUAAAAAAUUGUUUUGUGAAAAGACAUAAGGGAUCUAUCAAAUGUAUAUGAUAUUUCUCAUGUUGGAUACUGACCAGCCAGUUUAUUCCAUGGGAAAUGAACCUUGAUAUACUUUUUGAGGUAUUGUGAACAUUCUCAGAGUUUUCUUUUGCUGUCAAAGAGAAUUAAAUACAGUCCAUCUCUUUGUGGGUUCUUUAUAUUGGCAAAAUCCAUUUCCCUAUUGUCUAUGUAGCUUACUGCUGUUUCUCUCCACACUCAUAUCUUGAACACAGAAUUGUAUUACUUUGAUCAUGAAGCUGUAUUUUUGUAUAAUUAUGUAAAUAAAAGGAAACCUAGAAUUCUGGUGUUGUUUUUUUAUUUAUUUAUUGAGAUUUGUGAAUAAAACAUAUUUCUAGUGUUGAUGGUCCAUAGUUCUGUUGUCCUACACUUGUUGGAAUAAUGUUUCCUUUCACAUAUAGUUUUUAGGUCUCCACUCAGUAUGAAAUGUUAUUUUCCUUGGUAAAGUAAAUAGGCCAGGGAUAAGCAACUGGCCACUUUUGAAAGUCCUCGGAUCAAUUUCCCCCAAAAAAUACAAUUUUAAAAAACUCACUCAGGUCUCAAUUUACUGCUGCCAGUUAGAAUAGUAGAAUACAAAAGGUGCAAUUUCGAAAUUUGGUUGGGCAUCAACAGUUUUUCUCUUGUUAGUACAGUCACGGAUAGUCAGUCAAUUAGCCCACCAUGUCAGCUAACAUUUUUUAGAUUGCUAAAUUAGUUUAGCGUCCAGCUGACCCAACUUGGUUUAUGGUCGAAAAACCAACAGAGGCCCCAUUGAUCGUGUUAGUCUGUCUCACUCAGAUAUUAUAUUAAAAACUUCAAACAACUGCCCCCACCCGCAUCAAUGUUGGCCAUCCCUGAAAUAGGUCUACACAGCAUGACAGAAAAUACAUAUUAUUCAAUAGAACAUAUUUCAUCAUAAACAGCAUAAAUUGUGAAUUGGAUUUUCAAACAAAUUUGUUUUAUAUUUAGAAUGGGCACAGGACAUGACACAGAGUCACUACACAUCCCAGAAUGCAGUCGAUGGAGAAGGACAAGAUAUGAUGAUCUACAAUUCCCACGAGUUGUUUAGAUACAUGCAUGUAUGUCAUCAAUGGUUAGGAAGCGCACAGAGAAACGCUGAAGAACGGGAUUGAGUUGAUAAAACCGGCGUGGUGUUAUCUCUAUGGGAAUUAUAAUCAAUAAUAAUGUCCCACAAUAAAGCUCCUAUUGUUGAUACGGAGAGGCGUAGGCGGAGGUCCACGGCUGAAAGUUCAGGUAAGAACAAAUCGUAAACGUUCCUUCUAUCCAUCUCCGCGGUUUCUUUAGCACGCGAUAUUCGUGCGUUUGCAACAAUUGUUGUGUCGUACAUAGACACAGCUCUCAAGGUGCACUUUGGCAUUUGUUUUGUACCUUU
rnacentral:lncRNA from 13 species